AUUGAACGCUGGCGGCAUGCUUUACACAUGCAAGUCGAACGGCAGCGCGGGCUUCGGCCUUGCGGCGAGUGGCGAACGGGUGAGUAAUGCAUCGGAACGUGCCAGGAGUGGGGGGUAGCCCGGCGAAAGCCGGAUUAAUACCGCAUACGACCUGAGGGUGAAAGCGGGGGACCGAAAGGCCUCGCGCUAUUGGAGCGGCCGAUGUCGGAUUAGCUAGUUGGUGGGGUAAAGGCUUACCAAGGCGACGAUCCGUAGCUGGUCUGAGAGGACGACCAGCCACACUGGGACUGAGACACGGCCCAGACUCCUACGGGAGGCAGCAGUGGGGAAUUUUGGACAAUGGGGGCAACCCUGAUCCAGCCAUGCCGCGUGCGGGAAGAAGGCCUUCGGGUUGUAAACCGCUUUUGUUCGGGAAGAAAUCCUCUGGGCUAAUACCCCGGGGGGAUGACGGUACCGGAAGAAUAAGCACCGGCUAACUACGUG
rnacentral:rRNA from 1 species